rnacentral:misc_RNA from 1 species
AGUUGCGUCAACAACUCACGCUCGCUUGACGUGAACCGACGUUUGCAAGUUCGCUGCGACUAGAAUUGUUUACAAAAAUAAAGUUUGCUUAAAACAUCAAUUAUUUUAACUUUCGAAGUGUAACUAGUUUAUAGCUGGUGAGUCGACGGUGCUGAAAAUUUUUAUUCGAGUACACCCGAUGGACUAAAGCCGCGGUCAUGGGGACUUGCUGUAGCAAGGAGAUGCCGCGGACGGAGGCGUAUGCACCGUCAACGGGGCCCGGCUCGUCCACCGCUCGGGCAUCGGAGCCCCGUGUUUCUGUGACCAAGGUGGAGCCCAGGAUCGUCGAUGAACUGGUUCUAGAGCUGCUGUCGUUGAUAGGGACGUUUGUUGACAAUGAAGAAGAAUCGCCCCUAUCGUUAGUCAAACUUCAUGUUAUUGCCGAUAAAGAGGAAGGAUGGUUCCAAGUGGUUUCCUCGUUGAUCAAAAAGAUUCCACUGGAGAAUCCUUUGGGGCCUUCCGCCAUUACCAUUGCAUUUGACGAUUGCCCACUCCCGUCUAAGGAGCAAGUGAUAAAGUUGAUGGAGAUGCUAGGACUGUCGGCUAUGCGGGCACUGUCGGGAGAUAUCAAUGUGCAAGUGGAGCGCAAUAUAUGCGUCAUCCUAGGGUGCAUCGCCGACAAGUUAGCUGGGCCCAACAGCAUAGCCGUGCUUACUGAAGAAACCCUUGACUAUAUGCUGUCUUUCGUGAUGUUCCGCCGUGAACCGCGCAUAGUGCUGUACGCUUUAAUAGCGCUUGAAAAGUUCGCUCACACCACUGAGAACAAGCUGACUAUCAAGGCAAGACUUGACGCUGAGGUGGACAAUCCGCUGAUGAAUUUGGAGCAACAUGCCGAAAGCGCCGAUUUCACUUGGCGCCAGGUCGGCUUCUGCGCCAAGUGGGCACUUGACAAUCUAUUUACGGUACCCGGCCGUCCUCUGAGUUACGAAACGGCGGACAUGUCGGAUAUUAACGCCAUUUUGAAUACGCAAGACGUGAGCGAGUACUUGAAGAUCUCGUGCGACGGCUUGGAGGCCCGAUGUGACUCGUACUCCUUCGAGAGUGUUCGAUGCACCUUCCCGGUGAACUUCGGCGUAUGGUAUUACGAAUGUACCAUUAUAACUCCGGGCGUUAUGCAGAUCGGCUGGGCUACUAAGAGCAGUCAUUUCCUCAACCAUUUGUCAAUGGCACCAGCGAAGUGGCACCCGUCUGAGGGGUAUGGCAUCGGGGACGAUUUGUAUUCGCUAUCGUAUGACGGUUGCCGUAAGUUGAUAUGGCACGAGGCCAAGCCUUCGCCCGUCAAGGAUGUGGAUGUUUGGCAGCCGGGAGAUAUCAUCGGCUGCCUCAUAGACAUGAAUGAGGAAGAAGCGAUAUUCUCGCUCAAUGGACAACGAAUUCGUACUUGCACGAAUCUGUUUCGAGCUGCGCGUGUAAACCAAAUUGAUUUGACCAGAAACGGGUUCUUUGCUGCGGCUUCGUUCAUGGCUUUCCAACAAUGCCGAUUCAAUUUUGGAACUGAGCCGUUCAGGUUUCCGCCGACUGACCGAGCGUUCGGCAACUUCAACGAAUUUGGAGUACUCACUAAUGAUCAAAAACGGGUGGUGCCUCGUCGCUUGGAACUUGAGAAGCUGCGCAGCACGACUGCGAAGGAGAACUCGUGCACGCUAUGCUAUGAUGCCGACGCCUGCUGCGUGCUCGAACCCUGCAAGCACCGCGGGUUCUGCUCACUGUGCACAUCCCAGCUGAAGGAGUGCCCGAUGUGCCGCGCCGCCAUCGUGAACGUCACAACGGAGAACACGUGACAAGAGGACUCCUCGCUCUCGACGAUCAGCGAGCUCAACAGCCCCAACAUCACCUUCGAGGAGUCCCCCUCCCCGCCCUUCAACCGCCGCGUCCCCCAUCCCCUCACCCCCAACGGCUCCUCCACGACUACCAGCUCCUCCUCCACCUGGUCCCCAAUGAACCCCAACUUCCCCGAAGACGAACCCCGCGAUAUUAUCGCCUAUGUAAUACACGAAUCACGCAAGAAUAAGUCUCCGUGAACCGACAUCAACUCAAAUAUAAUAUUUUUCUUAAAUUAUGUGUUUAAUUAUAUGUGUAAUUUCUUCGUAGGAAUACGUACUGUUACCUUCUAGAUAAGAUUUUCCGAAAUCCAGCCAGUAGCAAAAAUACUAUAUCGUCACCGAUCCAUGUGUGUUGUCGUUUCCAUGCUGUCCCAAAUAUACAGUAUAUCUCAUCCAUACAUUCCUUAAACAAUAUAGAUGUUGUGAGUUUAUGACAUUAAACCAAUUGGUGUCUAUUUAAACUUACUAGAUGUUAAGAUUACUUGUCGAAAGUGUCAAGUUAAGCGCACAGUUACCAUCUAGGGGGUUUGUGAGUAAAGCACGAAGGUAAUUAAUACUUAUUAGUGAAAUAAAUAUAUGUAUAUUCAAAUAUUGUUAUUAGACUAGGAACUAUAUAAAUUCAUCAAUUUCGAUCCCAGGUGAGGCCUUUCAUAGUUUUAAAAUGGAACUAUGGAGACUGCAAAGCGACCACUUUAUGAUACUCGGCUUAGGAAUGAUUCAAUGGUGCGAUAAAAAAAUCGAAUUUAGUAUGUAAAAUGAUGUAUAAGGAUAACCUGUGAAUGGUCUUACCAUUUAAAUUACAAUCCAUUAAAAUUCUACUACCUACUAUGUUUUGUUGAUAAGACUAUUUAUUUAGAAGAUUUUUUUGUUUGUAAUAGAAUUAAGAAAAUUAGGAACUUUACUCAUUGCCAACGGAGAAUUAGGUACUUACUCAUCAAAUAUUAAAUCAUUUUCUUCACUUGUAUGUUUGCACCAAAGCUCUAUAUGAUAGCUUCAUUUCUUUUUAGUAACUUAUUGAGUAGGUAAAGUUAAUUGAAAGACGGUAUUAUUUUCGAUGCAAAAAUUUAUUAAUUGUAGGACUAGGAUUAAGUAUGAUUUUUCACUUAACUGUAGAUUCGUGCCAAAAUUUUGAACUUAGGAUUUAACUGCGAAAGAUUUAUUUAUGAUCUUAGUGCAACGUUUCUUCUCUUAACUUAAAAAAUAUCUAAGCGAAGUAAUAUUUAUGCUGCUUUUAAAUAAAAUUAUUAUAACAAACACGGCAAUGAGAAUGCCAGUGAAAAGCUUUGUCGUCCAGAGAAAUAUCACAUCCCACGUUCAAACAAUAAAAUUAGCUCCUGUGGAUGAAAUAUCGACAAAGAGAAAGAUUGUCUCUUUGUCGAUAUUUCAUCCACAGAGAUAGAUUUAUUCGUUUAAAAUUACUACAA